UGUGAUCAUAGCUCACUGCAGCCUCCAAUUCUGAGACUCAAGCCAUCCUCCAGCUUACUGUGUAAUAAGUUGUUCCAAAACUUGUUAGCCUAAAUCAAUGUUAAUGAUUUAUUAUUUCUUAUCCUUGUGUAGGUCAGAAAUUUAACAAUUUCUUCUUCCUUCCACUCCACAUAUUAGUGAGCAGUCAAGUCACUAUGGGAAAGAGAAGAAAAUCUUAGGACUCCCAAGGUCAUGAAUUGAUGAGCUCUCUGACUAUAUUCAAAAGGGGAUUGCCUCAGAGGCCAAAAGCCAAGCACUUCUCUCCAGAGGGCUGAGCCUUGAACUAAGCUUUAAAGAAAUCAGUGAACCGAGUGAGAUGAAAGAAAAUGAAGAAGGUGGUCCACAUUGAGCAAUUAGCCAGUUUCCUAGAGUGUGGUGGUGAAGAACGUGAGUUUUUGAAUCUAGACAGAAUGGUUUUGAAGGAUUCUGAGAAAUGUGUUGACCUCUUUGGACUCCAGUUGCCUCACUUGCAAGGCACUAAUAAUUUCUCCAUCAAAGAUAGUUGUAAUGAUGAAAAGAACCAUUUGUGUAGCUUCCAGUGAGCACCCAGUGCUGGUUGUUUUUAUAUUUAUCCACAGAACUCAAGCAAUCCAGUUAGUCUGGAGCAGAGGGUGGGGUCAGGGGUGGUGGAGAAUCAGAUUUGAGAGACAGCAGGGCCAGAUGAUCAAUGGACUUGGAUCGCACCAUAUGGAAUGUGGAUGUUAUCUAGAAGGUAAUGAUUAACCAGAGAAGAGUCUUCAGCAAAGAGCACAGCAUUUUAGAAAAAGCACCUGGGC
rnacentral:lncRNA from 1 species